UCCGGUUUGUCACCGGCAGUCAUUCUAGAGUGCCCACCCAAAGUGCUGGCAACUAAAAUCAAGGGUUGCGCUCGUUGCGGGACUUAACCCAACAUCUCACGACACGAGCUGACGACAACCAUGCACCACCUGUCACCUCUGUCCCGAAGGCCGCCUCUAUCUCUAGAGGAUUCAGAGGGAUGUCAAGACUUGGUAAGGUUCUUCGCGUUGCUUCGAAUUAAGCCACAUGCUCCGCCGCUUGUGCGGGCCCCCGUCAAUUCCUUUGAGUUUUAGUCUUGCGACCGUACUCCCCAGGCGGAGUGCUUAAUGCGUUAGCUGCGGCACAGAGAGGGUUGAAGACCUCCCCACACCUAGCACUCAACGUUUACGGCUGGGACUAC
rnacentral:misc_RNA from 1 species